rnacentral:lncRNA from 1 species
CAAGCCACAAAAGGGCAGUGAGAAAUCCAGGGCACCAGGAGAUAACAGGGAGCCGGAUGUUUGAAACCUCCAUGGGGCAAGGGUAUGCAUUAAGUACCUGCUGCGUGCCAGGGGCUUCCCUGGGCAUCAUCUCUGUUCUUGUGGAGCUUAUUAAAGCCUGGAAGGGGAGAAGAUGAGUAAAUUGAUGAUGCAUGAAAUCAUAAAAAAAAUGUACAAGAUAAAGAAGUAAUCCAGAUGAGCGAGCGAUCACAAACAGAAAUACAACAGUUCCUUCAGCUUGCUUUCUACUCCAAUAGCCAAUCUGCAAAUGAGCUGAAAGCUGGAGCUGUUUUCACAGGCAGAAAACUGGACUUUGGUGGACAGCCACAAAAGAGUAUGUGACCUUUCAUUCAAGAAAAGAUAAAGAGCUAUUUGUGGAUAUUGGAAAUGCGAAGGUAACGUCUACAUCCCCCAGGGAAGCAACAGCUCCGAACUCAAGGCUGUCAAAGCGUUUUCAAAAGUGAGACUAGAUAUUAAUUUAGACUAGUAAGCAGCAAAGGAAGUUUUAUCAAAGCAUCAAAAACAGAGUUCUUAUUGCUAGUGCAGC